UCAAAAUCAGCAUUAGGUCAGAUAAC
rnacentral:piRNA from 1 species